rnacentral:rRNA from 1 species
CCUACGUGUGGCAGCAGUGAGGAAUAUUGGUCAAUGGGCGCGAGCCUGAACCAGCCAAGUCGCGUGAGGGAAGACGGUCCUAUGGAUUGUAAACCUCUUUUGUCGGGGAGCAAAAGACGCCACGCGUGGCGUUCCGAGAGUACCAGAAGAAAAAGCAUCGGCUAACGCCGUGCCAGCCGCCGCGGAAAUACGGAGGAUGCGAGCGUUAGCUGGAUUUAUUGGGUUUAAAGGGUGCGCAGGCGGAAGAUCAAGUCAGCGGUAACCUUGGGAGGCUCAACCUCUUCGAGCCGUUGAAACUGGUUGUCUUGAGUGAGUGAGAAGUAUGCGGAAUGCGUGGUGUAGCGGUGAAAUGCAUAGAUAUCACGCAGAACUCCGAUUGCGAAGGCAGCAUACCGGCGCUCAAUUGACGCUCAUGCACGAAAGUGUGGGUAUCGAACAGGAUUAGAUACCCGGGUAGUC